GUGCCCGCUUCAGCAGCACAUACGCUAAAACUGGAACGAUACAGAGAAGAUAAGCAUGGCCCCUGUGCAAGGGUGACACGCAAAUUCGUGAAGCGUUCCAUGUUUUU